GAGGACGACGUAGGAGCAUGUCGGCUCGUCGAGUCACGGAGUGACGGAUCGCCGCUUCUCAGGCUGUCAGUAAUAAAAUACAGACGGAGGAAAACUAAGAAAACGAUGAAGUAUUCAUUCGACAAACGAAAAAAAUUUCUAAGAUCCGAAUUCAUAGUCGUUCUUCAAAUCCCAAGUUUGAUCUCCAAUAUCAAAACUCAGAUUUCAAUCUCGAAUUUUUACUUAAAAUUCAAUGCUAUCAAACCUAAAUUUCAAUGCUAUCCAAUGAUCAUCAAAUUCAGUUCUUCAUGACUGUUCGUGACUGAGCGAGAAAUGCGAAAAUCAUGGCGAGAAUCAUAAUAGAUCAGAAUCAGAUGGAUUGGUGGAUUCUGAUUCCACUAUGGCGAGAAUGAAAUAAAGUGUGAUGGGAUUACAUAGUAUAAUGGGCUAAAAAUCCAUUUAGAGAUUUUUAAGAAAGUGUGAGAGAUAGCCACUUAAACCUAGUACGUUCUGAUGUAAAUGUGGCCUAUCUUUCAAGACUUGCUCGCAGUAUUCCCUAACUUAAAUUACGUUCACGUAGGCCCGCGAUUAAAUUUAUUAGU